GGCCUUGACAUACUAAGAACUUCCAGAGAUGGAUUGGUGCCUUCGGGAACUUAGAUACAGGUGCUGCAUGGCUGUCGUCAGCUCGUGUCGUGAGAUGUUGGGUUAAGUCCCGCAACGAGCGCAACCCUUUUCCUUAUUUGCCAGCGGGUCAUGCCGGGAACUUUAAGGAUACUGCCAGUGACAAACUGGAGGAAGGCGGGGACGACGUCAAGUCAUCAUGGCCCUUACGGCCAGGGCUACACACGUGCUACAAUGGUCGGUACAAAGGGUUGCUACCUCGCGAGAGGAUGCUAAUCUCAAAAAGCCGAUCGUAGUCCGGAUCGCAGUCUGCAACUCGACUGCGUGAAGUCGGAAUCGCUAGUAAUCGCGGAUCAGAAUGCCGCGGUGAAUACGUUCCCGGGCCUUGUACACACCGCCCGUCACACCAUGGGAGUUUGUUGCACCAGAAGUAGGUAGUCUAACCGCAAGGAGGACGCUUACCACGGUGUGGCCGAUGACUGGGGUGAAGUCGUAACAAGGUAAGCGUAGAUGA
rnacentral:rRNA from 1 species